rnacentral:rRNA from 1 species
UACGUAGGGACCAAGCGUUGUUCGGAUUUACUGGGCGUAAAGGGCGCGUAGGCGGCAUGACAAGUCACUUGUGAAAUCUCCGGGCUUAACUCGGAACGGUCAACUGAUACUGUGCGGCUAGAGUGCGGAAGGGGCAACUGGAAUUCUUGGUGUAGCGGUGAAAUGCGUAGAUAUCAAGAGGAACACCUGCGGCGAAGGCGGGUUGCUGGGCCGACACUGACGCUGAGGCGCGAAAGCCAGGGGAGCGAACGGG